rnacentral:rRNA from 1 species
UACGUAGGGUGCAAGCGUUGUUCGGAAUUAUUGGGCGUAAAGCGUAUGUAGGUGGGUUGAUAAGUCAGGUGUGAAAUCCCGCGGCUUAACCGCGGAAUUGCGCUUGAAACUAUCAGUCUUGAGGAUGGAAGAGGUGAAUGGAAUUCCUAGUGUAGAGGUGAAAUUCGUAGAUAUUAGGAGGAACACUCGUGGCGAAGGCGGUUCACUGGUCCAUUCCUGACGCUGAGAUACGAAAGCGUGGGUAGCAAACAGG